rnacentral:rRNA from 1 species
CAGCCGCCACGGUAAUACGGAGGGUGCAAGCGUUAUCCGGAUUUAUUGGGUUUAAAGGGUCCGUAGGCGGAUCUGUAAGUCAGUGGUGAAAUCUCACAGCUUAACUGUGAAACUGCCAUUGAUACUGCAGGUCUUGAGUAAAUUUGAAGUGGCUAGAAUAAGUAGUGUAGCGGUGAAAUGCAUAGAUAUUACUUAGAACACCAAUUGCGAAGGCAGGUCACUAAGAUUUAACUGACGCUGAUGGACGAAAGCGUGGGGAGCGAACAGGAUUAGAUACCCCCGUAGUCCCUGUCUCUUAUAC